CAAGGCGCUGCGCGGCGCAUGCAGAAGCAGCCGCGGGCCGGCGGGGCGCGCAGAUAAGGUCUGGGGGCGCGGGUUUCGGGCUGUACCUGCAUUAUCGCGGCUUCCUUAAGCUCGGAUGAAUAUGUAAAUCUCCCGCCGCCGCCUCCCGGAGCCGCAGCCGCAGCCGUGGGGGCCGCCUCCGCUGUAGCAAUUCCGAGGUAUAUGCUACAACCAGCAGACAUGAUGCCAUCAAGACAUCUGGAGCCUGGCUACCUCCCACGGCCUGUAAUGGUCCACAGGAAACUCACGCAGUCUUGCUACAGCAAAUUGAGGUGCUAUAGGGUGCCUGCUGCUCCCUCUCUCCUCACCUUGCCACAGAAGUCUGCCCCACUCUGACCCCCACUUCCGGAGUUUCUACAGGACAUGUUCCAUUUCUUGACCUGGGUGAUGGAUGUCUGGAUAUGUUCACUUCACGAAAAUUGCAUCCAUCAAGACACUCAGGAUUUGUGCACCUUUAUUAGGAAGGAGAAGUGGCCUGAGUUGAGAAUGUAUAAAGAUUCCUGGACAGAAGCUAAUGGCCUGGCUGACUGGUCAGAGUCCUGGGAGGAAAAGAAAGGAUUGGAGACAAGGUGGUCUGAAGCUGAGGCAUGUGGAUGGACAUAUGGACAUUGGUGUAAACUCUGAAGAUUUUUUAUCACAUAUUAACUCUGACCAGAAGCUAUCUACCACAGAAGAGUCACUGAAUAACUAAGAAGACAAAAUGACUUAGCCAGUUGACUUUAACUACCCUUCAUCAUUGGCCAUCCCAGAACUGGCAGAAUGGACAAAUGAAUAGCCAUGAUUGUAGAGACAAAGGUUAGUAUGCGUCCGAUCAUAAAUUUUCACUAAGGAAAGACAAUUUAGCUACUGCUGCCACUGAAUACCUAACUUGCCAGCACCAUAGACCAAUACUGAGCCUUCAGAUUUGGCACUAUUCCUCAAGGAGACCAAUGGCCACUUGGUAGCAAGUGUAGAGACAAAAGUUAGUAUGGGUCCAAUCAUGAAUUUCCACUAAGGAAAGACAAUUUAGCUACUGCUGCCAUUGAAUACCUAACUUGCUAGCACCAAGGACCAAUACUGAGCCUCUAGAUCUGGUGCUAUUCCUCAAGGAUACCACUGAGCCACUUGGUAGCAAGUUGACUACAUUGGGACCCUUCUAAUUCUAGAAGAACCAAUGGUUAAACGUUAAUAGGAUAGAUACCUAUUACAGGUAUAGUUCUUCCUUUCUACCUGCAGAGUCUCAGCUAGUACAACUAUUCAGGGAUUUAUAGAAUUUUUGAUUCACAGACAUGGAAUCCCGCAGAAUGUGGCAUCUGUCUAGGAAACCCAUUUUAUAGUGAAGGAGGCGUAAAAUUGAGUCAGUGACCGUAGAGUCUACUGGUUGUAUCAUAUACCAUAUCAUCCAGAAAGAGUUGGCCUUAGGGGCCGGGUGCGGUGGCUCAAGCCUGUAAUCCCAGCACUUUGGGAGGCCGAGGCAGGUGGAUCACGAGGUCAAGAGACCAUCCUGGUCAACAUGGUGAAACCCCGUCUCUACUAAAAAUACAAAAAAUUAGCUGGGCAUGGUGGCGCGCGCCUGUAAUCCCAGCUACUCGGGAGGCUGAGGCAGGAGAAUUGCCCGAACCUAGGAGGCGGAGGUUGUGGUGAG
rnacentral:lncRNA from 13 species